UGGCAGCCCCCUGGCCACCAAAUAGAGUUUCUGCUCACAAGUGAGGCCAGUGGAAAAUUUUAGUCUGCUCUUAGGAACUGUGUGCCCAGCCUGGGAAACUGAAGAUGUUUCUUUAACAGAAAAAUCGUGCUUUUGAAACUCAAAUGACAGCGUGGCCCAUGAUCUGCUUUUCUCUCCCUCACACCAGUUUUCUUGGGAUGUUAUCGGGCCAGCAUCAGAACAAUGCCCACUUCUGUCUUGUGUUUAACCUGAAUGACAAAAGACCAGUCAGCCGAUGUAGGCCACGCAAGGAAGUCUCCCUUACCGGUUGGGCGCAUGCAGAAACGCAAUGGCUUUCUUUAUUGUUCUGUUUUUUCUUUUCUUUCUCUUUCUGUUUCUUUCUCUUGUCCCACCUAAAAGCUCUUCUUAUGGAUCAGGUCUGGAGAGCCCCUGAAGGCUGCCUGAGAACUCGACUGCUGUGCCUGAGUCCCUCUGACAUUCUCUGUUGCCAACUGCUCACUCAUUAUUCUAAAAAAACAGCAAACAAGCCCAAACUACUUCUCCAAGCAAUUCCGAGACAUACUUCACAAACAGAACAAAGCAAAGCCACCAGCAAAGCCCAGCUUUCCUGAGAUCCUUUGUGAGAACCAGGAUGUUUUUUUUAUUUUUUGGUUUUUAAUUCUUAUUUUAUGUGCAUUGGUGUUUUGCAUGCAUGUCUGGGUGAGGGUGUCAGCUCUGAGCUGCUACGUGAGUGCUGGGAAUUGGACCCAGGUCCUCUGGAAGAGCAGUCAGUGCUCUUAACUGCUGAGCCAGCCCUCCAGCCCCAAGAGAACCAGGAUGAUUUUUGAUCACUACUAAGUUCUAUUUAAAACAUUUUUAAAGGAUUUUUUCUUUUCAAUUUUUAAUUAGUUCUUUGUGUACAAUGUAUUUUGAUCAUAUUCACCCCAAUCUUUUCUCAGAUCCAACUCCUCUUUCUAUCAAGCCAACCUGUGUCCUCUUUUUUUUUUUUUUUUCCUUUUUUCUUUUAACCCAUCAAGUCCAUUUGUACCGCCCAUAUACUCUUCGAUGUGUGGCCAUCCUCUGGAGGUGUGUUAUCAGCUUGAAUACAUCUGGGAUUAACUAAAUACCCAAGCAACUAGGCACACCCAUGAAGAAUUUUCUUGGUUCGAUUAUUUGAGAGAGAAGACCCACUCUAAAUCCAGAUCUUUUGAAGUCAGAAGGCACACUCUAAAUCCAGGGCACAUCUUCUCACAGCAGCCUAUAUAAAGGACGUGGAAGAAGGAAGCCUUUGCUUUUUUGCCUGCUUGCCCUCACUCUCACUGGCAAGUUCUUCUAUCUGAUGCUGAGGCGUUCCUUCACUGGUGUUAGCGCCUACUUCUUCAGACUUCCAGCGUAUACUAAAGACCAGCAGAGACAUCCAGCGCUGUGGACUAAAUAGCUAUUGGAGUCUUCCUGUUGGGACACAGCUGUUGGUGACUUAGCUGGGCCUCAGUCAUAUACGUUCAUUCUAUCAGUUGUGUUCAUCGAGAGAACCCUGACUAAUACAAUAAGUAUCCAGGUGUUUAA